AAGAACUGGGAGGUCAGGGCCCUCCAAGUGUCCCUAUUUCCCAGGGACAGUCCAGGAUUUACAGAAGCCGUCCUGGUUUCUAAUUUGAUCCCGGAAUGCCCCACUUUUCCUUAGGACGUCCCCAUUUUCAUGGGAGAAAUGUUGGAGGGUAUGGAGUCAUGUGACCCCCCCCCCUGGGCCAAGGAGAUAAGUAACUAUACAACCUUUAGAAGACAUCUGAAGGCACCCCUGUUUAGGGAUAUAUAUAUAUAUUUAGUGUUUAAUGUUUUAUUAUGGUUUUUAGAUGUGUUGGAAGCUGCCCAGAGUAGCUGGGGAAACCCAGUCAGAUAGGUAGGGUAAAGGUAAAGGACGCCUGACCAUUAGGUCCAGCCGUGAGCGACUGGGGUUGCAACGCUCAUCUCGUGUUAUUGGCCGAGGGAGCCAGCGUACAGCUUCCAGGUCAUGUGGCCAGCAUGACAAAGCCGCUUCUGGCGAACCAGAGCAGCGCACGGAAACGGCGUUUACCUUCCCGCAGGAGCGGUACCUAUUUAUCUACGUACUUGCAUUUUGACGUGCUUUCGAACUGCUAGGUUGGCAGGAGCUGGGACCGAGCAAUGGAAGCUCACCUCGUCACAGGGAUUAACCCACAGCGCCACCCUGAUAGGCAGGGUAUAAACAAUAAUAGGGACUCAGCUACAUUAGUCAAGAAGCAGUGUUUUGAAUGUGUUAUAAACAUGCAACACCAGAUGGCGCCAGAGAGCACAGAAAAAAUUCUAUGUGAUUCUCCAUAGCGGGUUUUUUUCUUUUGUUAUAACAAUUUAAUUUCUGGUGUGUUUAUAGCAGGGGGGAGUUUCCUGUGUGUAGAUCCACCCAAGAAUAUCCCUAUUUUCAUCGGCUAAAUGUUGGAGGGUAUGGGCUAUGUUCACACCCACUUUUUCAUGUUUAAAUAGGGCAGACAACACUUUUUUACAUUAUAGCCACAUGACUAAACAUCAUUUUGCUUAGCCCUUUAGAGGUGUCUUUGACAACCUGCUGCUCUGCAGAUGUUCUGUACUAUAACCCCUAUCAGACCAGCCAGAAGGGCACCAGUUUAGCAAAGGCUAUUUCAGAGCAUGCUAUUUUAUUAGAUGUCACAUAUAAUAGAUAUUGUUCUGCAAAAUUUGCUGGCUUUCGCAUCUUUGUCAUUCUGUAGUUUUGAUGACCUUUUGAUUCCACCUCCACCCCUGUAAGGAAGCUGGAAUUACUUACUUUAGGAGCAACUACCUUUCAAAAUCACUUCCAUUUUUAUUUGGGUUCAAUUCCCCCAUCCCCCGAGUGUUGUCAGCUGCACAGGUGCCAUGCCAUGCAUUUCCAGCAUGUCCCCCUCUCCACAGAAUCCUGGGAACUCUAGUUUACUGCUCAAAGAGCUGCAAUUCCUAGCAGCCUCAACAAAAGAGUCCUUUGGUAGGGGAAUGUGCUUUAAAUGUAUGCAUGCAGCCUAAUGAUUUGGGUAAGGAAACUAAGACAUCUUGUUGGGAAUAGGCCUGUACAUUUGAAGAGCUUCUGUGCUGGGCAGGAAUCUGUGAGGAAGAAGCAGAGGGAUAGUAAAAAAAAAAAUAAAGAACUACCUUGGGCCUUUAUAAGUCCCAUGGGAGUGCUGUUUAUAUCCCCCCCCCUUAAAUUCUGGCUGGAUCAUGCUCUCUGUGUUUUACCUACGUAAGCUACGCAACCAUUAAGAACAAAUUUUGACUAUUAAUUAUAUUUCAGAGUUCUAUAUUCCAGCUUUUCAGAUAGAAGCAGUUUACAGGAAUGCACCAGCCAAACAUCAGCUUUCAAACAAUUUGGCCAAGCAGAAGCUAAACUAUGAGGUUAGACUAAAGAAUUACAAAUAAAUGAAUAAAUACAUGUCAAUGUGAAGAAGGUGAUAAAGCCAGCUCAGUUUCUGCUUCGGACCCUUAGGCUUUAUUAGGCAACCAUAAGCACUUCCUUGAGUAAUCUGAAGUGACACUCAUUUUAUCACGGCACAGGAAAAGAUUGUCAUAUAUAAUAGAACUUCAUUUUUCACUUUGUUAUGUAUGGGUGCUGUGUUUUUUUCUUGUGGUAGACUUUAAAAAAAAAAUCCUUAUUGAAAUAUUAGCCAGUGUGGACAUUUUCUGUUUAGUCUGCUGUUGCAAGGAUCUGUCAAUGAGUCGAUUGAUUGCACAUUACAUUAUGAGGGAAGAAGAAGCCAAACUAGAUGUUACUUGGCAAUAUGUAGUUCUCAUUGUCGUCACACACACCCCGCCCUGCCAUGCCAGCUACGGUACUUAUGAAAUCAAAAACAGCUAUGACACAUGAAACUAUUAUUUAUUGCAUUUAUAUCCCACCUUCCCCCCCCCAGGAGCUCAAGGCGACGUCCAUUAUUUUCUCCCCCUCCUCAUUUAAUCCCCACAACAACCCUGUGAGGUAGGUUAGGUUGAGAGGCAGUGACUAGCCCAAGGUCACCCCCCAAGGAGCUUUGUGGCUGAGCAAGGAUUCGAAGUCUGGUCUCCCAGGUCCUGGCUUGACACUCUAACCACUACACCACACUGCGGUAGGAAUUACGUCCUGCUCAGCUCAAACAGGAAUGUACUCAAAAAGACAGGUCUGUGUCCCCAAGCAGGUGACAGUCUACAUUUCAGCAGCGGGUGAGACAAAAA